rnacentral:tRNA from 1 species
UAGCAUAGUGGUUAAGAGCUAUGGCUGCUAACCAAAAGGUCAGUGGUUCGAAUCCACU